GGUGAGUGGUUGUGGUUGGACAGUGUACGAGGUCAGUGGGUGUGGUUGGACAGUGUACGAGGUCAGUGGGUGUGGUUGGACUGUGUGUCUGUCCGCUGUGCUGUGGAGGUACGCGCCCCACCUCAGCGCUGCGGCUGUGGCGUGCCGCGGCGGGCCCCCUACCU